rnacentral:rRNA from 1 species
AGAGUUUGAUCCUGGCUCAGGAUGAACGCUAGCGGCAGGCUUAACACAUGCAAGUCGAGGGGCAGCGCGUGUAGCAAUACAUGGCGGCGACCGGCGAAAGGGUGAGUAACGCGUGAGCAACGUGCCCGUAUGUGGGGGAUAGUCGAUGGAAACGUCGCGUAAUACCCCGUAACACAUUUUUCCGCAUGGGAAGAUGUUGAAAGAUUUAUUGCAUACGGAUCGGCUCGCGUGCCAUUAGGUAGACGGCGGGGUAACGGCCCACCGUGCCGACGAUGGCUAGGGGUUCUGAGAGGAAGGUCCCCCACAUUGGAACUGAGACACGGUCCAGACUCCUACGGGAGGCAGCAGUGAGGAAUAUUGGACAAUGGCCGGAAGGCUGAUCCAGCCAUGCCGCGUGCGGGAAGACGGCCCUAUGGGUUGUAAACCGCUUUUGCGAGGGAGCAAUAAGGGCAACGUGUUGUCCGAUGAGAGUACCUCGCGAAUAAGCAUCGGCUAACUCCGUGCCAGCAGCCGCGGUAAUACGGAGGAUGCAAGCGUUAUCCGGAUUUAUUGGGUUUAAAGGGUGCGCAGGCGGCUUGUUAAGCGGGAGGUGAAAUGCCGGCGCUCAACGUCGGAAGUGCCUCCCGAACUGGUGAGCUUGAAUGACUCUGCCGUGGGAGGAAUGUGUAGUGUAGCGGUGAAAUGCUUAGAGAUUACACAGAACACCGAUUGCGAAGGCAUCUCACGAAGGGUUGAUUGACGCUGAGGCACGAAAGCGUGGGGAUCAAACAGGAUUAGAUACCCUGGUAGUCCACGCAGUAAACGAUGAUGGCUAACCGCUGGGUUAUUCGAUUCAGUGGCCAAGCGAAAGCGAUAAGCCA